UCUGCCUCUGCCUCUUCCUCUGCCUCUGCCUCUGCCUCUGCCUCUGCCUCCUGAGUGCUGGGAUUUCAGGCACGCACAGGAGAGUGUUCUUCACUUCAACCUGGAGGUCCUUCACGCUAGUCAGCUAGUCAGCAGCCCUGCAGCUCCACAUCCUUCUGCGAAGCAGAAGCCGAGUGUGGUAAAAACCAGGGUAGUCAUCUGCUGGGUGUGUGACUGGGCCGGUGGCCUCCCCCUCUGUGCCUAUUUUCUCAUCUGUCCAAUAGAGGCAAUAAAAUCUCC
rnacentral:lncRNA from 1 species